rnacentral:lncRNA from 1 species
CUUUGCGCCUGUCUGUCCUUCGCAUAUUUCAUUGCGCCUCAGUCCUAUUCAACCCAUGGAAUUGAAAGUCUAAUCUUUCUUUGGGUCCUCCGUUUUAGAGUCCUACGGAUAAAUCCUCCGGACCUGUCUUAUGGCACCUCUCUUAGUCGAGCUGCUUCGCACCUGGAAGUCUCGUCAAUAUUCUUUUCACCUUCGGUUCAAUUAUUUUGGAGGGCUCAAAGAAUUUGAGACGAGUGCAAGCAGUUUCAUUCUCAGUUUCAGUACUCUAAGCAAGGUAAUUCUCAGAGUCAUCUGUCUAUCCCGUUAAGGGGCAGGUGUUCAGCCGGAGACAAGAAAGGGCUCGACUUCCUUUGGGGAUUAUCCCUUGAAUCAGUGGGAGUUGGUCUUGCAGUAGCAGUUCUUGUUCCAGUUUCAUAGGUUGAAUGAUCUCUUUCGUAAGGCAAAAAGGCUGAUUUCUCUAUUUGGAAUAUCUGUCCCAUUAUUUCAAAGUAAAGGAAAGCCUUUAGAUGCGCUCAAGCGCCCAACUGGGCUCGAAAGCUGCGAAAAAAGUCUCGCUGUGAAAUCGGUGUGGUGAGGUAUUGGAAGUGUUCAGCGAAUCGAGAGAAAGACAAGAAAGUGAAAGGCAGAGCUUCCGCAAAACGAGGUAGGUAGCUUUCGCUAAUGAGAGAUGGCUUUGGGGAUUAGGUCUCCAAAUUCAUGGAAUUUCUUUUCUCUUUCUAUAUAUGAGAAGCAAAGAUGCACAGAGCAACCCGACCGAAGGCGCUGAAGGAGGGCAAGUGGUCCACUCUCUCAUCUACAACAGAAGAUCAACCCCUUGUCCAAACUGAAGAUAAAGUUCAUAUGGACCUGAUCUCAAAUCCCCUAAUGGAUAGUCCUUCGGACCUGUCUUAUGGCACCGCGGAGUGGUCCGGAGGCGCAAUUCAAUAUGCGACUUUGAACCGGAGGUUCAAUGCCCACGGAGCGGGAGAGGUCUCGUCUUUUCCGCUGACUCCCACUUUUUCUUUCUGUAUUUGCUUAGUCUUUGCUUUGUUCUUUUCCCCUUUCCACUUGUACUUCCACUUUCUUCCUUUUUGAUAUCGCUUUUCUUCUUUCAGUUGCCUUCCUUCCUUUCUCCCCUCUGAUUUUAUGGAUGCCCCUCCCUUUAGACUUGCAGUAAAGCUGAACAAGUUGACUCAGCUUGCGCUUGGCUUCACUGCCUUGACUAUCAGAGAGAGGAAUUGCUAAAUAGACAGAGAGUAGUACCAUAGGCUUUCUUCUUUUUAGCUAGUGAAAGAGGGCAAUAUUCUUUGCGCCUUCCAUCUGCCUGCUUUCUUUGACUGCAACCAUGCUUGCCAGAGUUCUUGCUUCCCUUUUUCGGCCCCAGCCACAUACCGGUUAGCGAGGAGAUUGGUCUAAGAUGGCUAGUUGCUUGUACUUUAAUCGAGAAAAAGUUGGAGAUAUGAGAGAAAUUCUUUUCUUUCUUUGGGAUAAAUUGCCAAUUCCAUGAAAGCAUUUGCCUUAAUGAAAAAAGGGGAUCCUAUUGACCUAGGAUAAUAAGCUCAUGAGCUUAGUCUUACUUCACCAGAAAGGAAAGAAGACUUCCAUCUCCAAGUUGAACUCAGACCUAGCUCCCUUCUUUAUAUCGCCUCUGCUGGUCAUUCUGCUUUGAAACUAUGGGAAAUGAAUUAGAUAAAUCAGCCUUUCUUUCUAUAAAGAGAUAUAUAGCUCAUUCCCGAUCUCACUACUUCGCAAAUUCUUUGCUCCUUCUCUUUGUUCAAGAAGGGCUACGUGGGCGACUGCUGAAACUGGGUCCCGCACCCCUAUUUAUUUAUGGAUGUCAUUGAGCGGAGGACCUCGAUCAUUCUUUGAGGACGGAAGCUUGAUAAAGUCAGAAGGCGCAAAGAAUAUUGCCCUUUUUGAAAGGCACCAAAAACAAAGGCGCAAAGAAUAUUGCGUUAGAAAUCAGUGGAAUUAAUCAGUCCUCCGCCUAAGAGCGCAAACCAAAGGCAAAGGACGCGUCGGACUCCCGGACCUCUUUAUAUCCACAGGAAAAGCUUGAUAAAGUCAGAAGGCGCAAAGACGCAAUAUUCUUUGUUUUUGGCUAGGCUUUCUUUCUUCUUGUCUUUUAUUGCUCCUAACCCCGAAAGAGGUGGGGUUCCUUCUAACCUCUCCUCUUCCCCACGUAGCGGUCGAGACUAUUCUACUCUUUCCGGAUAGAUUCUGUUCUUUGUCUUUCUCAAAUUCUUUGAGCAUCGACCGCCUACAAGAUCCAGUCAAUUAAUGUAGUGGGCUGACUUUGCGCCUCAGUCGCAGCUCCUUUCAGUUCUCCGCAAUAUUCCCCAUAUUAAGCUACGGAGGCCAGACAGGUCCGAAGGACUAUCCAUAUUAACCCGUCUGUCAUCUGGUCCCUUUGAUUUUCUUCUUUGCUCCUAACUACUAAUGGAAAGGACCCACGGAGCGGUGCAAAGAAUAUUGCGAAGGACAGACAGGUCCGAAGGACUAUCCAUAUUAACAUUAACCCGUCUGUCCUUCGGUCUUAAUACUCCUAACUACGGGGGAUAUUCUUGUAAUUAAUUGACUGGAUCUUGUUUGCGUGAGGUGCAAAGAAUAUUGCGAUGUAGGCUCGACAGGGAUAUUCUUGGAUUUCAGACUCGCGUAGGCGCAGUUGCGCAAAGAAUAUUGCGAAAACGUAGGUGCAAAGAUCUAUGGCCCAAUUAUAAGGGGUCCAGAUGACUAUCCAUUAGGGAAUGUGAGAAGCUCCUUAACAGGAGUGCGGAGUCUGAAAUCCCGGGUUAAUAUGGAUAGUCCUUCGGACGUCCGAAGGACUCUAAAAAGGAGCCUAACGGAGGCUCAAAGAAUAUUGAGGUUAGGAGCAUUGAAUUUAUAGAGAAUAGUCCGGAGGACCUCCUUCAGCAUAAUCUAUGAAUGAUCGGUUUCAUAUUGCGGAAAAGAAGAAAGGCUCUUUUCAUAUUGAGAAAUCCCGUCCUUCGGACAGACGGGUUAAUAUGGAUAGUCCUUCGGACCUGUCUGUCCUUCGGACUGGAGCCAGAAAAAAAAGGGCAAUAUUCUUUGCGCCUUCUGACUGCUAACCUCUGCGGUCAGUCCUUCGGACCAGGUGCGCGAAGCGAAGCGACUGGAAGGAUAGAAGCAGCUCGACUAAGAAGGAGAGGCGCCAUAAGACAGGUCCGGAGUCCGCAGUCCGCAGGAUUUAUCCGUAGUCCUACGUCCGGAGUCCGCAGGGCCAAAGAAAGGUCCAGGGUCCGGAGUCCGCAGGAUUCUUAUCCGGAGUCCGGAGGAUUUAUCCGUAGGACCAUCCGUAAUUAACCGAAGUAGGACUAUCCAUAUGGAAGUAGGACCAUCCGUAAUUAACAGAAGUAGGACUCUAAAACGGAGGACCCAAAGAAAGAUUAGAUUUUAGGCGAAGGACUGAUUAAUUCCACUAAUAUUUCGGAGGACUUGUUAAUGGAACUGAUUGUAGUAGGCGUCGGACAACUCAUUCAUUCUAUUUAGACCUCAAUGAAGAAUAUUGAUGAUCUCUCGCUAUCGGAUAUCAAGAGUAUUCCAAAGAUUACUAUCCUGUUCAAGUCUCGUUUUUGACUAAUGGGAUGCCUUUUUUCAUUUUCAUCAGCCAAGGUCAAGACCUGCUAGUCCUACCACGUUAAGGGAGAGCACCCAACUUGCUUGUUGACACGUGAGGGAAAAUAGGAGUCAGAGGUGGGAGGAUUUACCACGUUAGCCCUAUGGUAGUGAUGGUUGGUCUUUUAGAUAUUAUGUCCUUUGAGUGCCUUUUGCGCGCUUAGCCUCGGAAAGAAAGAGGUGCUUCUACAGCGCUUUGGUGCUAAAACCUAAAACUAGGCUCAAUUCGGAAACUGAAACGAAGAAAUUCCCACGCAAUAUUCUUUGCCUGAAAUUUGAAGGAGUCUUAAGACCUCGCAUAUUUCAUUGCGCCUUCGCAUAUUUCAUUGCGCCUCAGUCCUAUCCAUUAGGAAUUAAACUGCGCUAGUAGGAUAGAUACGGCAAGAUCUUUCACUUUCUUCCUUGACCUUCCGGCACUGGGCGGGCUUGUAGACUAUUUCAUUCCAAAUCGUCGCCCCUUUCCUUAUCUACCGUGUGCCUAUUUGCUUUCUUUCAUAGGCAAAUUUCUUUGUCGGUGGCAACAUCGGCAUGCGUUAUAUAAGACUUUAAGCGCACCUUCACUACAAGACUGCCAGAACCGUCACGGGCUUCUUCUGGAACGAGGCGCAAAGAAUAUAUAGAAUAAAGGAGAGGAGUGGAACUGCUCGACUGUAAGGAGAGGAGUGGAACUGCUCGACUGUAAGGAGAGGAGUCCUUUUUCCGUAGGUUGAUGCUUUGUAUCGCACGCUUCUUCUAUUUUUCUAUAUAGUGUGAACACCUUGCCCCCUAUUCAUUAGUUCCAAGAAAGGGGCCGUUCACGUCGCCGGUUUUUGAUCUAGUUGCAAUAAAAUAAGUUCGCUUUUUUUCGUCGAGAUUGGGUUGGUGUGAAGCCUCAGUACAAGAUCGAAAAGAAUGCAUAGCAUUCCAAGUGAGAUGCCCAAGAUAAAAGGAACGAGGGGAAGAAUCAAUGACGGAGGACGCUCAUUCUAAUGGACCUCGCAUAUUUCAUUGCGCCUUCGCAAUAUUCUUUGCACCGCUCCGUGGGUCCUAUCCAUUAGACUGCACCUCGCAAUAUUCUUUGCGCCUGGAAGUCUAGUCAAUAUUCUUUUCACCUCCGGACUAUCCAUAUUAACCCACUAAAAAAGCGAAGGACUGCUAACCUCUGCGGUCAGUCCUUCGGACCAGGUGAGUCAGAAACAUUAACUUUAGGCAGAUCCCCCCUUAUUCUUAAAUAGUGGGACUUCUCGCAAUAUUCUUUGCGCCUCUCAACAAUAUCCCUGUCUUAUGGCACCUUCUGCUUCAUGAUUUUGGAUAGCCAAUUAUAUAGAAUCUUUGACCCUUUGUUCAUUGCCUUGAUAGGCUUGGAGUUGAUUCCACUUUUGUCUCUUCUUUAGGCUUUCUCAAUAUUCUUUUCACCUUGCCUCGUCCGGAGGACUAUCCAUAUUAACCUGUCUAGCCUUCGGACUGGUCCGGAGGCGCAAAGAAUAUUGCCCAUUAGAACUUUUUUCAAUCAAAAAGCGUGAGGAUCAUUCUCAACUCUCGAUGUUAGAAGGUGCAAAAUCAAUGGGUGCCGGAGCUGCUACAAUUGCUUCAGCGGGAGCUGCUGUCGGUAUUGGAAACGUCUUCAGUUCUUUGAUCCAUUCCGUGGCGCGAAAUCCAUCAUUGGCUAAACAAUCAUUUGGUUAUGCCAUUUUGGGCUUUGCUCUAACCGAAGCUAUUGCAUUGUUUGCUCUAAUGAUGGCCUUUUUGAUCUCAUUCGUAUUCCGAUCUCAAAGGUUUCAGUCUCAUAAAGCAAGACCUCCGAAAUAUUAGUGGAAUCUUUGAAUAGUCCUUCGCCUCAUUCUAAUGGACCAACAACAGUUCUUCCCGCUGAUUUUCAUUGCGCCUGGACCUUUGUUUUUGGAAUAAUUGACCCCCUCCGUUAGGCGCAAAGAAUAUUGCGAGAGUCCUGAUCCUUUAUAAAGCAGUUUCAGACGUUAGGAGCAAAGAAUAUUGCGAGACCGGUCCGUCCUCCGGACUCAAGGAUUCCGCUAAAGUUUAGGGAAUUUAGGAGCUAUUCCAAAACGAGCUGUUAAAUUCCCCCACGGAGCGGUAUCUAAUGUUUCAGACGUUAGGCGCAAAGAAUAUUGCGAGACCGCGUAGAAGGAGUCUUAUUCCAAUAAUAUCCGUAAUGAUCCUUUCUUUAUAAAGCCGUUUUUUUCGGAGUAUUAGGAACCGGCUUAAAUAGGCGACUCAUGAUUCCACUAAAUAGUUAGGCUCCAUAAGACAGGUCCGAAGGCGUCACAGGUUAAUAUGGAUAGGACUGAGGUCUUAAGACUCCUAACUACUAAUGGAAAGGACUGAGGACGUCCGAAGGACUCUAAAGAGGACGGGGGUGAGGCGCAAAGAAUUUGCGAUGCGUUCCAAAAAAAAGCUGUGAAAUCCCCACGGUGCGGUGCAAAUCUUCUUAUAGAUUAUGCUGAAGGAGGAUCAAUGAAAUUUGAUGAGUCAUGAUCCCGAAAAAGACUGCCACUCCGCGGUUCAAUUCAAUAUUCAAGGCGGAGGUUCAAAGUCGCAUAUUGAAUUGCGCCUCCUUCUAAUGGAUAGUCCUACGGAUAAAUCCUCCGGACUACUUCGGUUAAUUACGGAUGGUCCUACUUCUGUUAAUUACGGAUGGUCCUACGGAUAAAUCCUCCGGACUACUUCCCUCCAUAUGGAUGGUCCUACGGAUAAAUCACCUGGACCUUUCUUUGGCCCUGCGGACUCCGGACUGUUAAGGCUCAAAGAAGAUUUCGAAAUCCAUAUAUAUAAAAAAGGCUAGGCGAAAGGCGCGAAGCGAAGCGCAUGAAAUUCAGAGGUGCAAAGAAGAAAGAAAGAAGAGAAUGGCGAUCAGAAGAUUGAGAAAUCCAUAUUUGUGGAUAAGAGAGGUCCUUCGGACUGGUAGAUUUCAGACGAUAGAGGUGCAAAGAAGAAAGAAGAGAGUUGCGUGAGAAAGUCAAAUAAUAGCUAUUAAUACUCCUACAAUAUCCCUGUCUUAUGGAGCCUUAGUCGUAUUCCAAAAAAUAGCCGUUUUCAAAGUCAAUGACAUCGGUUUUUAGUCAGCUAAAGAUAUUCUUUCUUCCCGCUCCGUGGGCUUAACGGUUCAAUGAACAAGGGGUGUAGUUCCUCCGCAAUAUUCUUUGCGCCUUCGCCUCGCAAUAUUCUUUGCUCCUAACUACGGGGGUACGAUCUAACUAAAAGGAUUCCACAUUCAAGAGGACCGGACACCUGAGUCGAGUAAUGGGAAGCGGGCUAGUCCCCGAAAAUGCUCGUUCCUGUUGGGGCUUACAAUGAACCUUGUGACUCUAACUCUUCUUCAAAAAAAGCCUCUCUAUAUUAGCGGAUCAGUCUUUACUUAUCUCAAGCAAUGUCCAUCCCAUGCCUUUCUUGGUUGGACCAACCCAACCGGCGAUUUCCGACAAGUCUUUCUUCAUUUUUCUUGAAAGAAGCGGAACUACAGGGAUGAAAUGAAAAGUGUUUCUGACUCUUACGCCCAACAGCCCACUUGAGCAAUUUGCCAUUCUCCCAUUGAUUCCUAUGCAUAUAGGAAACUAUUAUUUCUCAUUCACAAAUCCAUCUUUGUUUAUGCUGCUAACUCUCAGUUUGGUCCUACUUCUGCUUCAUUUUGUUACUAAAAACGGAGGAGGAAACUCAGUACCAAAUGCUUGGCAAUCCUUGGUAGAGCUUAUUUAUGAUUUCGUCCCGAACCUGGUAAACGAACAAAUAGGUGGUCUUUCCGGAAAUGUGAAACAAAAGUUUUUCCCUCGCAUCUUGGUCACUUUGACUUUUUCGUUAUUUCGUAAUCCCCAGGGUAUGAUACCUUAUAGCUUCACAGUUACAAGUCAUUUUCUCAUUACUUUGGGUCUCUCAUUUUCUCUUUUUAUUGGUAUUACUAUAGUGGGAUUUCAAAGAAAUGGGCUUCAUUUUUUCAGUUUUUUAUUACCCGCAGGAGUCCCACUGCCAUUAGCACCUUUUUUAGUACUCCUUGAGCUAAUCCCUCAUUGUUUUCGCGCAUUAAGCUCAGGAAUACGUUUAUUUGCUAAUAUGAUGGCCGGUCAUAGUUCAGUAAAGAUUUUAAGUGGGUCCGCUUGGACUAUGCUAUGUAUGAAUAAUAUUCUCUAUUUCAUAGGAGAUCCUGGUCCUUUAUUUAUAGUUCUUGCAUUAACCGGUUUGGAAUUAGGUGUAGCUAUAUCACAAGCUCAUGUUUCUACGAUCUCAAUCUGUAUUUACUUGAAUGAUGCUACAAAUCUCCAUCAAAAUGGUUAUUUAUUUAUAAUUGAACAAAAGCGAAAAUCAAGCUCCAGAUCCUAGGCUAAAAUCAAGGCGGUCGAUCGAGUGGAAGAGUGGAAAUAAGGCAUGUCCGGAUAAGUCAAUGUUCUCAAAUUCAGGCUCAAGAUGAGAUUCUUUCUUUUCUGGCCUUAGGCGCAAAGAAUAUUGCGAUGCGAUUGCCUUCUAUAUAUUCUUUGCACCUUCGGACCGGCAAAAAGAAAGGUCAAGAUGACAUUCUUGAUUUAGGAGCGAAGCAUGAAAAGAAGAGAUAAAUAAAGUGUUAAGGAGCGCAAUCAAUGAACAAAGGAGGUCGGAUCGUCCUUUAAGUUUCAUGGCUUUCCUGAGAAGGAGCUUCAAGCUCUCACUCAGAUACAUCGGGUCAGACAUAAGAAGGGGAGGGCCAGUAUGAUCUCUUUCCGUUGAGGAUCAAAGUCGCAUAUUUCAUUGCGCCUCCUUCGGUUAAUUACGGAUGGUCCUACUUCCAUAUGGAUAGUCCUACGGAUAAGAAUCCUCCGGACUCCGGACUACUUCGGUUAAUUACGGAUGGUCCUACGGAUAAAUCACCUGGACCUUUCUUUGGCCCAUAUGGAUGGUCCUACGGAUAAAUCACCUGGACCUUUCUUUGGCCCUGCGGACUGCGGACUCCGGACUACGGAUAAAUCCUGCUUCUAAUGGAUAGUCCUACUUCCAUAUGGAUAGUCCUACGGAUAAGAAUCCUCCGGACGUAGGAC